rnacentral:rRNA from 1 species
AGAGAGAGACAUGCGCGCAUAUCAAUAAGCGGAGGAAAAGAAACUAACAUAGGAUUCCCUCAGUAACGGCGAGUGAAGCGGGAAGAGCUCAAAUUUGAAAUCUUCAAGGUUCUACCUUUACGAAUUGUAGUUUAAAGAAGUGUUUUCUGUUGAGGUUUUGGUAAAAGUUCUUUGGAAUAGGACAAUCAUAGAGGGUGAGAAUCCCGUAUUUGACCAUUACUUUCCAACUUUGUGAUACACUUUCAAAGAGUCGGAUUGUUUGGGAAUGCAGUCCAAAAUGGGUGGUAAAUUUCAUCUAAAGCUAAAUAUUGGCGAGAGACCGAUAGCGAACAAGUACCGUGAGGGAAAGAUGAAAAGAACUUUGAAAAGAGAGUUAAACAGUACGUGAAAUUGUCAAAAGGGAAGCGUUUGACACCAGUGUUGUUUUUCUGAAAAUCAAUUAAAAGGCACUGAUUUAUGCUAAGUUGUAUUAGACUUUAUCAGCUUAUCUGCCUCUUAGUUCUUGAGCUUUUCUUUAAUGCACUUUUCAGUUAACAAGUCAACAUCAAUUUCUUUUGUUGUAAAAAGGUCAUUGAGGAAGGUGGCUUGCGAUUUCGGAUAAGUGUUUAUAGCCUUUGACUCCUGCAGUCGGAGAGACUGAGGUCUGCAGCGUAGAUCCUUCGGGGUUAAAUAGCAUUUGUGCUAAGUUAUAGCAUUUUCAUAGACAACUUGUUGACUAUGAUUUGUCUUGUAGCUUACUCGCUUAUGUUAUUUUACCUACGCUUAGGAUGUUGAUGUGAUACUGCGAGCA